rnacentral:rRNA from 1 species
UAUACAUGAGCAAAAUCUCAACUUUAUUAGAAGAGACGCAUUUAUUAGAUAAAAAACCAAUGCAUGCUUUUACAGUGUGAAAAUUGGUGAUUUAUAAUAACUUAGCAAAUCGCAAAGUGAAAACAGGCGAUAAAUCAUUCAAGUUUCUGACCUAUCAGCUUUCGACGGUAUGGUAUUGGCUUACCGUGGCAGUGACGGUUAACGGGGGAUUAGGGUUCGAUUCCGGAGAGGGAGCCUGAGAAACGGCUACCACACCUAAGGAAGGCAGCAGGCGCGCAAAUUACCCAAUUCUAACAGUUUAAGAGAGGUAGUAACAAGAAAUAACAAUACAAGGCAGUUAAAAUGCUUUGUAGUUGGAAUGAUAGAAAUUUAAACCCUUUUUAAAGUAUCAAUUGGAGGGCAAGUCUGGUGCCAGCAGCCGCGGUAAUUCCAGCUCCAAUAGCGUAUAUUAAAAUUGUUGCAGUUAAAAAGCUCGUAGUUGAAGUUCUGCUAAAAGUAACCGGUCUGCUUUGAAUAAAAGUGGUAUCUUGGUGUGUAUUUAGCAAUUAUGUCCUUUGAAGUGUUUGUUACUUGAGUGUAAUAAAGCAUAUUCAGGGCUUUUUACUUUGAGAAAAUUAGAGUGUUUCUAGCAGGCUAACGCUUUGAAUACUGCAGCAUGGAAUAAUA